GGUAUCGCGCGCUCUGCGCCGGCUUCGUUUUCGUUCAGUUCAGUCUCCGAAAACGGAUGAGACGGCCUUGAGUUGUGCGCUCCCCCGAGGAACGGAAAGCCUUCGACGCGCGGCUAUGACAACUCGCCCAUGAAAGGGUCACCGUCGGUGCGCCGAUCUCGUAUUUAGAGCCACGCGAUCCAAGGCAUUCCGACACCAACGAGAAGAAGAUCCUGAGCAGAGGGAGCGGGAGGCCGAAGCGAACUGGCACCUUUGCCACCAGGCACUGUCAAAGACACCACGGACCGCUGGAAACCCAGUCGAUAUCUAUAUGCUCAGGAGGAGGAGGAGUAGAUUUUAAUGAAGAGAAAAGAGGAGAAGUCGGCCUGGAGAGCGUGUCUCUAGCCUGCCACUCCUCACUGGGGAAAGGGGAAGUGGGAAGUACAGAGAAAGAUCGCAACGCGCACCUACUGUUCACGGCGAAGUGCUGAAGAAACAACUUGUCCGGUGCUGCUUCUGCGAGUGCGCUGAGUUCCUCCACUCUGCGUGACUGCGAGCGUCACGAACAUUACAUAGUGUGGGCAAAAGGUAGACAUCCUAUAUAGCUACGAUGCGACGAGGUGGUACCGACGAUGGAUCUCGCUACCAACACAGUGAAGGAGACUUCGACAAACUGCAGAUAAGUAUAUUUCUACUGUUUCAUAUUUAGCAUAAUAAGAGUGCACGGAUUAAGUCACUUUCGUAGUAACGAACUGAAUGUCCAGCAGUUUAAAGAAGGCAGUGAGAACCAAUGAGUGUUCGUGCUUUUACGUGCAAGUGGGCCCGCGAAAAUAUGGAAUAGAUGAAGGUAACCUUCACUAACUUGGUGAGGCAACAGAAAUUCAUGAGUGACAUUAAGCUAGAAAAUUUAUGGAAGAGUAUCUUUAUCCAAGUGAAAUAUCAAUAGCAAGUACUGAUAUAAAGCAGGAAACUUAUACAAAAAUUUCAUGGGUUGAACAGCACAUGGAAGGCAUUACCGAAUCGUGAUCGCCACGUUACCGAUAUCCUUGAAAAAAGUCUAGAAUCAUUGCAUUCCACCGGUUAUGCAAUAUGGGACAUAAACCUGGAGGUUAACAAAGAAACUUGAGAUGUCAAGGACUGUGUAGAAAGCGAAGUAACAAAAAUUGUUGCAGAUAGCAUUAAGGCAGGAAGACAGUGGCGUAGUAAACCGUGGCAACUGAUAUGCUAGUUGAGAUUAAAAAAGAAAGGAAUCGGCAGGCAGGCCAUGCACGUAUUCGAUCACUUGUUGCCAAUUCAUAUCAGGUGAUUACAUAAGCAUUACAGAAUGAAUGUCAAGGAGAGAGAACUACAGCCAACGAUGGUAGAAAAUUGCGUAAUGGGACAAGAAUAUGAUGUUUGUAGGCAUAGGAUGCAAUCAGCUCGUAUAAGACGGGAUUGUAGGGUGAGGCAUUUGUUUUGCAGCGAACAAAAAUAGGUUUGUGGUGCUGACAGUAGAGACUCGUGAAGGUGCAGGGCCACCUCAGCUGCUGGCACACUAAUCAACAUGACAAUUGGCUCUGAAAAAGAAAACCCCAGUUUUGAAAAAUAAAGCAAUGUUGUCCCAACGCAUUGUUUUACUAAGCAUACUACACUAGAGGCUUCCACAUUUAAGGGCACUUAGUACUAAUAGUGCAACGAGCAUUUUUCUUUGUAAAUAAUGGUUUGUAUGUGGCUGAUUCAUUCCAAUACACUUUUUUGCAGCAAAACAUUCUGCUGCUGGAGCCACUCAACCGCCUGGUGGCAGUAGGCGAGCGCCAGGCACGUGCUCUUGAGAGUGUGGCAAAGGUCCAGAGGGCUGCUCCGCAACAGUAGUAUCGGUGCCCUCACUGCUGUCCUGUCGAGCCCACAGAAGGCACCUUAUAAAGGAGCUUUCAGUUUAAUAUUUUGUUUAUUAUUCAAGAACAUGAAUAAAAUUAUUGCAGUAAA